AUUGAACGCUGGCGGCAUGCUUUACACAUGCAAGUCGAACGGUAACAGCACUUCGGUGGCUGACGAGUGGCGAACGGGUGAGUAAUACAUCGGAACGUGCCUAGUAGUGGUGGAUAACUACUCGAAAGAGUAGCUAAUACCGCAUGAGAUCUAAGGAUGAAAGCAGGGGACCUUCGUGCCUUGCGCUACUAGAGCGGCUGAUGGCAGAUUAGGUAGUUGGUGGGAUAAAAGCUUACCAAGCCGACGAUCUGUAGCUGGUCUGAGAGGACGACCAGCCACACUGGAACUGAGACACGGCCCAGACUCCUACGGGAGGCAGCAGUGGGGAAUUUUGGACAAUGGGCGCAAGCCUGAUCCAGCAAUGCCGCGUGCAGGAUGAAGGCCUUCGGGUUGUAAACUGCUUUUGUACGGAAAGAAAAGCCCUCUUCUAAUACAGGAGGGUCAUGACGGUACCGUAAGAAUAAGCACCGGCUAACUACGUG
rnacentral:rRNA from 1 species